UACGAAGGGGGCUAGCGUUGUUCGGAAUCACUGGGCGUAAAGGGCUCGUAGGCGGCCAACUAAGUCGGACGUGAAAUCCCCAGGCUCGACCUGGGAACUGCGUCUGAUACUGGAUGGCUUGAAUCCGGGAGAGGGAUGCAGAAUUCCAGGUGUAGCGGUGAAAUGCGUAGAUAUCUGGAGGAAUACCGGUGGCGAAGGCGGCAUCCUGGACCGGCAUUGACGCUGAGGAGCGAAAGCCAGGGGAGCAAACGGG
rnacentral:rRNA from 1 species